rnacentral:rRNA from 1 species
UUAAGCGACUAAGCGUACACGGUGGAUGCCCUGGCAGUCAGAGGCGAUGAAGGACGUGCUAAUCUGCGAUAAGCGUCGGUAAGGUGAUAUGAACCGUUAUAACCGGCGAUUUCCGAAUGGGGAAACCCAGUGUGAUUCGUCACACUAUCAUUAACUGAAUCCAUAGGUUAAUGAGGCGAACCGGGGGAACUGAAACAUCUAAGUACCCCGAGGAAAAGAAAUCAACCGAGAUUCCCCCACGUAGCGGCGAGCGAACGGGGAGCAGCCCAGAGCCUGAAUCAGUGUGUGUGUUAGUGGAAGCGUCUGGAAAGGCGUGCGAUACAGGGUGACAGCCCCGUACACAAAAAUGCACAUACUGUGAGCUCGAUGAGUAGGGCGGGACACGUGGUAUCCUGUCUGAAUAUGGGGGGACCAUCCUCCAAGGCUAAAUACUCCUGACUGACCGAUAGUGAACCAGUACCGUGAGGGAAAGGCGAAAAGAACCCCGGCGAGGGGAGUGAAAAAGACCUGAAACCGUGUACGUACAAGCAGUGGGAGCACGCUUAGGCGUGUGACUGCGUACCUUUUGAUAAUGGGUCAGCGACUUAUAUUCUGUAGCAAGGUUAACCGAAUAGGGGAGCCGAAGGGAAACCGAGUCUUAACUGGGCGUUAAGUUGCAGGGUAUAGACCCGAAACCCGGUGAUCUAGCCAUGGGCAGGUUGAAGGUUGGGUAACACUAACUGGAGGACCGAACCGACUAAUGUUGAAAAAUUAGCGGAUGACUUGUGGCUGGGGGUGAAAGGCCAAUCAAACCGGGAGAUAGCUGGUUCUCCCCGAAAGCUAUUUAGGUAGCGCCUCGUGAAUUCAUCUCCGGGGGUAGAGCACUGUUUCGGCAAGGGGGUCAUCCCGACUUACCAACCCGAUGCAAACUGCGAAUACCGGAGAAUGUUAUCACGGGAGACACACGGCGGGUGCUAACGUCCGUCGUGAAGAGGGAAACAACCCAGACCGCCAGCUAAGGUCCCAAAGUCAUGGUUAAGUGGGAAACGAUGUGGGAAGGCCCAGACAGCCAGGAUGUUGGCUUAGAAGCAGCCAUCAUUUAAAGAAAGCGUAAUAGCUCACUGGUCGAGUCGGCCUGCGCGGAAGAUGUAACGGGGCUAAACCAUGCACCGAAGCUGCGGCAGCGACGCUUAUGCGUUGUUGGGUAGGGGAGCGUUCUGUAAGCCUGUGAAGGUGUGCUGUGAGGUAUGCUGGAGGUAUCAGAAGUGCGAAUGCUGACAUAAGUAACGAUAAAGCGGGUGAAAAGCCCGCUCGCCGGAAGACCAAGGGUUCCUGUCCAACGUUAAUCGGGGCAGGGUGAGUCGACCCCUAAGGCGAGGCCGAAAGGCGUAGUCGAUGGGAAACAGGUUAAUAUUCCUGUACUUGGUGUUACUGCGAAGGGGGGACGGAGAAGGCUAUGUUGGCCGGGCGACGGUUGUCCCGGUUUAAGCGUGUAGGCUGGUUUUCCAGGCAAAUCCGGAAAAUCAAGGCCGAGGCGUGAUGACGAGGCACUACGGUGCUGAAGCACAAAUGCCCUGCUUCCAGGAAAAGCCUCUAAGCAUCAGGUAACAUCAAAUCGUACCCCAAACCGACACAGGUGGUCAGGUAGAGAAUACCAAGGCGCUUGAGAGAACUCGGGUGAAGGAACUAGGCAAAAUGGUGCCGUAACUUCGGGAGAAGGCACGCUGAUACGUAGGUGAAGCGACUUGCUCGUGGAGCUGAAAUCAGUCGAAGAUACCAGCUGGCUGCAACUGUUUAUUAAAAACACAGCACUGUGCAAACACGAAAGUGGACGUAUACGGUGUGACGCCUGCCCGGUGCCGGAAGGUUAAUUGAUGGGGUUAGCGCAAGCGAAGCUCUUGAUCGAAGCCCCGGUAAACGGCGGCCGUAACUAUAACGGUCCUAAGGUAGCGAAAUUCCUUGUCGGGUAAGUUCCGACCUGCACGAAUGGCGUAAUGAUGGCCAGGCUGUCUCCACCCGAGACUCAGUGAAAUUGAACUCGCUGUGAAGAUGCAGUGUACCCGCGGCAAGACGGAAAGACCCCGUGAACCUUUACUAUAGCUUGACACUGAACAUUGAGCCUUGAUGUGUAGGAUAGGUGGGAGGCUUUGAAGUGUGGACGCCAGUCUGCAUGGAGCCGACCUUGAAAUACCACCCUUUAAUGUUUGAUGUUCUAACGUGGACCCGUGAUCCGGGUUGCGGACAGUGUCUGGUGGGUAGUUUGACUGGGGCGGUCUCCUCCUAAAGAGUAACGGAGGAGCACGAAGGUUGGCUAAUCCUGGUCGGACAUCAGGAGGUUAGUGCAAUGGCAUAAGCCAGCUUGACUGCGAGCGUGACGGCGCGAGCAGGUGCGAAAGCAGGUCAUAGUGAUCCGGUGGUUCUGAAUGGAAGGGCCAUCGCUCAACGGAUAAAAGGUACUCCGGGGAUAACAGGCUGAUACCGCCCAAGAGUUCAUAUCGACGGCGGUGUUUGGCACCUCGAUGUCGGCUCAUCACAUCCUGGGGCUGAAGUAGGUCCCAAGGGUAUGGCUGUUCGCCAUUUAAAGUGGUACGCGAGCUGGGUUUAGAACGUCGUGAGACAGUUCGGUCCCUAUCUGCCGUGGGCGCUGGAGAACUGAGGGGGGCUGCUCCUAGUACGAGAGGACCGGAGUGGACGCAUCACUGGUGUUCGGGUUGUCAUGCCAAUGGCACUGCCCGGUAGCUAAAUGCGGAAGAGAUAAGUGCUGAAAGCAUCUAAGCACGAAACUUGCCCCGAGAUGAGUUCUCCCUGACCCUUUAAGGGUCCUGAAGGAACGUUGAAGACGACGACGUUGAUAGGCCGGGUGUGUAAGCGCAGCGAUGCGUUGAGCUAACCGGUACUAAUGAACCGUGAGGCUUAACCUU